rnacentral:rRNA from 1 species
GAUGAACGCUGGCGGCGGGCCUAAUACAUGCAAGUCGAGCGAACGGACGAUAAGCGUGCGUCCCUGACGGUAGCGGGGGACGGGCGAGUAAGACGUGGAUAACCUACUUAUAAUACGGGGAGAACAUCGGGAAGACGCAGCCGAUACCAGAGAAUACGAUGAACGGGAGGGAUCAAAAGUGAAAGAGGGUUUGGGCGACACAUAGAGAUGGAGCCGGGCUGGAUUAGCUAGUUGGUAAGGUAACGGCUUACCAAGGCAACGAUGCGUAGCCGACCUGAGAGGGUGAUCGGCCACACUGGAACUGAGACACGGUCCAGACUCCUACGGGAGGCAGCAGUAGGGAAUCUUCCGCAAUGGGCGAAAGCCUGACCGAGCCAUGCCGCGUGAGUGAUGAAGGUCUUCGGAUCGUAAAACCCUGUUGUUGGGGAAGAACAUCAGUAUAUGUAUCUCCCGCCGUCUUGACGGUACCUAAUCAGAAAGCCCCGGCUAACUACGUG